rnacentral:ncRNA from 1 species
GUAGGUGGAUGGCUGGGCCAUCGCCUGCCAUUCUCCUCUUGUCGUUGUUGCUCCGGGGCCCGAUUGGACCCCGGUUUUUUUUG